GACGAACGCUGGCGGCGUGCUUAACACAUGCAAGUCGAACGGAAAGGCCCUGCUUUUGUGGGGUGCUCGAGUGGCGAACGGGUGAGUAACACGUGAGUAACCUGCCCUUGACUUUGGGAUAACUUCAGGAAACUGGGGCUAAUACCGGAUAGGAGCUCCUGCUGCAUGGUGGGGGUUGGAAAGGUUCGGCGGUUGGGGAUGGACUGGCGGCUUAUCAGCUUGUUGGUGGGGUAGUGGCUUACCAAGGCUUUGACGGGUAGCCGGCCUGAGAGGGUGACCGGCCACAUUGGGACUGAGAUACGGCCCAGACUCCUACGGGAGGCAGCAGUGGGGAAUAUUGCACAAUGGGCGGAAGCCUGAUGCAGCAACGCCGCGUGCGGGAUGACGGCCUUCGGGUUGUAAACCGCUUUCGCCUGUGACGAAGCGUGAGUGACGGUAAUGGGUAAAGAAGCACCGGCUAACUACGUG
rnacentral:rRNA from 1 species